rnacentral:rRNA from 1 species
GACGAACGCUGGCGGCGUGCCUAAUACAUGCAAGUCGAGCGAGACUCUUCGGAGUCUAGCGGCGGACGGGUGAGUAACACGUGGGCAACCUGCCUGUAAGACUGGGAUAACACCGGGAAACCGGUGCUAAUACCGGAUAAUCCUUUUUCUCUCAUGAGGAAAAGCUGAAAGUCGGUUUCGGCUGACACUUACAGAUGGGCCCGCGGCGCAUGAGCUAGUGGGUGAGGUAACGGCUCACCAAGGCGACGAUGCGUAGGCGACCUGAGAGGGUGGUCGGCCAUACUGGGACGGAGACACGGCCCAGACUCCGACGGGAGGCAGCAGUAGGGAAUCUUCCACGAUGGACGAAAGUCUGAUGGAGCAACGCCGCGUGAGCGAUGAAGGCCUUCGGGUCGUAAAGCUCUGUUGUUAGGGAAGAACAAGUACCGGAGUAACUGCCGGUACCUUGACGGUACCUAACCAGAAAGCCACGGCUAACUACGUGCCAGCAGCCGCGGUAAAAC